ensembl:lncRNA
GUUAUCGCGUGACUAAGCGCCAUUUGGAAAUCGACCUGCUACAGUUGCUAGCCCGCAAAUCAUUUCGGUAGCGUUAGCAGUAGACGGUGUAAGAAAUACUACCGCCGUCCUUCCAGAAGAAAGAAAAGAGCCGUGUUAACUCGGGUGUUCGAUAACCUCUCACAUCGAGACGCGUGUCAUUUCCAAAAGGGUCAUGGCUGACGAUUUUGAAAUUGAGGCAAUGCUGGAGGCUCCAUUUAGAAAGGACUAAAAGAAACUCAACUUAACACAUCCCUGUUCAGUUGCUACAAGGUGAAUGCCAAUGGAAGAUGAGCACAUUUUAUCGGUGCUACAAAAGAGGCAGUAUUCAGUUGUAAAAAUAUGCAGUUUCCCACUAUUUUAAAGCAUGAUGAAUUAUAUUUGUUGAAAUAGAUCAUGCAUAUAUGCACAAUCUUGCCAUAUGUUUGGCAUCUGUUUUCAGGUAUAGUCAGAUUUAUGUUAACAUUUUUAUUGUAAUUUCCUGCAUUGUAUACAGCAAGUUAUAGAUAUAAAGCACUAUGAACUUCGGUCAUAGUAAUCAUAGCUGUGUUGUGCAUAAAGAGCCUAGAGAGAAUAACUGAUUCAAAUGCUUUUAACAUUUAAAAAAAUAUGAAUACUGCCUUUUUGCCUCAACUGUAACUGUAAUUAUUUUGAGGUUUUAAAUCGGUAUUGAGUUUGCAUGCUACACAACAGCACACAUUUUUCAUUAGCACACAGUUAAAACAAUUGCGGCUAUUCAACCUCCCUUUUCAAUCAAGCCAUAACCGGGCUUUUGGCCGAUUUUCAUGUUGAUACCAAAACACAUUGGUAGUUUUGUAUGUGGAUGAACUAGUGGCUUUCUUUCCAGUUUCUGUUGGGCGUCGAUGUUACUAAGCCCUGUGAAUCCCUGUUUGCUUCAGGGCGAGAUGUGUGACAGAGGUGGCAUCGAGCUCUUACAGUUCAAGAACGAAAAUGGGUGAAGAUCACUGGACUGACACCAACCACACAGGAUCUCUUUAGUGGCCGUUGACCAUGCGUAGCCUCAGGCUUAGGCUCAGAUAGUGGCAUGGGUACGGCUCAUUAGAUUGGUGGGGGGCGGGAGAGGUUGGACCCCAGUAAUGUCAAAGUUCACUGAACAAUUCUAUAAUGUUGGUAGUCUCAUAAAAUGUCAUUUUAUCCGAGUUGCAGUGAGCACUCAACAAUACUGCUAAAAUGAUG